rnacentral:lncRNA from 1 species
GUAAGGCUUGAUUCCCCAUCGCUCCACGCUAGCCGCUCAGCCCCUCCCCAGUUCCUCGUUUGUUUUUCUGUAUUCCACUAUAGCUAACACCGUCCCUUUAAAAGAAAAAAAAGUGAAGCAAGAAAGAAACUGUUUACUUCUAUGGCCAGGCACGGCUACCAUACAGGGAGGGCUGAAGUCUCUGAGCAGAAGGUUCUGCCUAGGGGAGGGCUGGGACUAGGAAACAAGCGCGCUAGGGUCCCCCUUCAGCCAGUUUUCUGGGACUCACUCCAUCCUCCUCCUGCACUCCCCCUCUCCCCAUCGUCAGCGCUGUCUCACCUCUUACCUGUCCUUUGGGCUACAGCGGGGGAGGGGGCUCUCAGCACACCCUGCUGGGGGUGGGAAGAUGCCAGUUACUGGGACCCGGGGUAAGGCUCCUGCUGCAGCAGCUGUUGACUCUGAAGAGCGAAAGGCAGAGGGUGAUGGGGACCGAAAUGGAAAACAGGAAAACACAUGUGCGACUCUGACCGGCGUCAGGGAGGGGCCAGGGGGAUGGGCUGGAGCUGGGAUUGCCCAGUCAGACCCAGGGGGCCUGGAUGCUUGCAGCCGCCAGAUUAGCCUAGUCCCACAGAGGGCAUAUGAUUCUUCAGUUGGGUAGCAAAACUUCAUCCAUCCCAAGAGUUUCCAGCAAGCCAAGGAAGAUUAUGUACACCAGGAGAACCACUUGGUAUAGCCAAACACAUGCCCAGACAUCAAAGCAGCCCAGACUGCAGAUUGGUGCAAGUGGUGUGAACAGAAUUCCAGCUGCAUCUGCUAUCUUUAGGCAACCAACAGCUUGCAGGCCUCGGAGCUACACCAUGCAAAUUGCACCUGUGUUCGGUAAAUUACGCCAGAGGCAAAUUACACCAGAGGCAAAUUGCGCCAGAGGCAAAUUACUACGCCAGAGACUGGCAGUCCAGGAAAGGAGUCCUAGCAGGUUGUCACCGGUUGGGAGCCAACUCACGUUUCACUAAGACACAGACAUCAGAGUUCACUGGCACCAAAUAUCUGAG